AUCCAUCAUCCACCCAUCCAUCCAUCCAUCCAUCCAUCCAUCAUCCAUCCAUCAUCCACCCAUCCAUCCAUCCAUCACAUCAGAAUGGUCCAAAGCAGUCCAUCUCUGAAUGCCUUUUAAAAGCAUCAGUCUAAACUGAUGCUAAAUAUGAUUAAGAUGCUAUGGCAUGACCUCAAACAGGUUGUUUAUACUGGGAAACCGUUCACUAUGACUGAAUUAAAGCAAUUCUGCUAAGCAGAGUGGGCCAAAGUUCCUUCACAGUGAUGUUAUAGACUCACCAGCCAUUAUCACAAAUGCUUGAAGGCCAUGGUUGCUGGCUACAGUGGAACAACUAUUGGAGUCAGGGACACUUUCUUCCCACAUAGAGCCAGUAAUCCUGUUUAAUCCCAAGGCUGAUCACACUGAGCCUGGUUCUGGUUCUGCUGGAGGUUUCUUCCCGUUAAAAGGGUGUCACUCAUUUCUACUGUUGCCACAAGGAUGACUCAGGAUGAGGAAAAGCUGCAAACGUAAUGCAGAGAGUUGGACUUUCUUAGAAGGCUGGAUCUGCUGAUCGAUCUGCAGGCGUUUGGACCAAGAUCCUCUCUGAUUGCAUAUUCAUGGGAAACGUAUUGAGUGCUGAGUAUCGGAUAAUAGACCGGCCCAUGAAUGAUGGAGGAGCUGCAUGAAUGAAAGGCUUCCUCACCAGAAUGAGUCGGGAUUAUUAGCUGCUUUAAACAGACUCUGGUCCGAUCGGUCCUGAUGGAAUCAGGAUGUUUCAGAACAAAGAAGAACCACAGAGGCCACAGACAUUUAGUGCAGAGAAGGAUUUGAUUGUUGGGUUACCUUCUCCUGUUGAUGAUGGUUGUUGUGGGACAAAAAACCCAAACUGACUAAGUUCAUUAGUUUUGUUUGAAGAAGACAGAAAAUGCAGAACCUGCUUUACAUUUUAUUAUUAAAAAUGUGUUUUUACUAUACAACAACUAUACAAACUGCUUUAAUCUUUGACAUAAAACUAAUAAUUCUGUUAUUAAACUUCAAAGCUGCACAAACGUU